AAUACUUUUAUAUUAGGAUUUUUUCUUACAGUGUAAUUCAAAAUCUUGAUUCUUACUUUUGUGACCUUACAAGAUGAGGCCCCUAGUUAUAUCUUCAAUCUUUUCAAUCUUGUCUGCAGAUAAAGGUCUUCUUGUGAUUCACAUGCCCGUGUGAAAACUAAGAAGGAUUUUGCUUUCCAGACUUUAGUGCCAAAACUGUGGAACAGCUUAUCGUGUUUGCUGCACACCGUUGACUUUGUGGCAUCCUUUAAAAAACUGCUUAAAUGCAUCUAUUCAGACCAUUUACCAUUUUGGUAAAAUGUUUGUGUUGUGUGUUGUGUUUCUUGAUUCAGGUGUCUUCGUUUGACUGUAUUUUAAAUAUCUGUGUAAAGCACUUGUCUUAAAAAGGAGUAUACAAAUAAACUUUACUUAUGUACAUAACUAAACACAGAUUCAGUUUUUCAUGGUCUGCAACUCAGUUAACGCUGAUUAACUUUUUUUCAGUCUGGCAAAACGGAGGACGCAGAGAAGUUUUAUAAAUAUGCAAUACGGUUCAACCUACAGAUGGAGUCACUCCACAAAGAGUUUAACGAGUUGAAGAAUCAGCUCCGCUUCCAUCAUCUGGAGUCGUGCUUUGAAAGAAGCACCAAAGGAAAAGAAUAAAUCAUAUGUCCAAGUAUGUACACAUAAUAUCUCAAUGACCAGUAUUUGAAACAACAUUUUAUUGGGUUUUCAGCAUGUGUACUGUAUGAAAAUUAAAUACAGAGAGUUCAGAUGUACAUGAUGACUUUUAUCUUCACCGUCUGUGAAAUCUGUAACCGGUUGAGCCAUAAAAGUUAAACUCUGAUCAAUAUCAACAUAACAAACACAGUUAAAGCAACACCAUAAUCUCAAAUGUAUAUAAAACAAUUGCAAUAUAGUGUUUUUUUUUGUUUAAAUACAAAAACAAAGAAAAGAAAGGAGGCUAUAUGGUGACUGGUACCAGCAGGAUAUAAAACAUUUACUACUUCACAUUUGAUGUCAUUCUUUUGUUAUCAUUUAUGCAGGAAAACAAGCCCUCGUGACACUUUGUGGUGUUUUUGUUCUGAAACACGUUUCUAAAUUUUGGCACAAUCCUCUCUGCGUUGAAAGGAAAUGUUGUGAAAUAUUGUUUUGAGCUUGUCAAAUAGUUCACGAAGGAUGUGUUAGAAUGGGCCCUGAAUAAAUUUCCUUUAAAAUCAAAUGGA